rnacentral:rRNA from 1 species
CCAUGCAGUCGAGGGGUAACGGGGUGCUUGCACCGCCGACGACCGGCGCACGGGUGCGUAACGCGUAUACAAUCUACCUUGUAGAGGGGAAUAGCCCAGAGAAAUUUGGAUUAAUGCCCCAUAGUAUUAUGAAAUAGCAUUAUUUUAUAAUUAAACAUUUAUGGCUACAAGAUGAGUAUGCGUUCUAUUAGUUAGUAGGUAAGGUAACGGCUUACCUAGACUUCGAUAGAUAGGGGUCCUGAGAGGGAGAUCCCCCACACUGGUACUGAGACACGGACCAGACUCCUACGGGAGGCAGCAGUGAGGAAUAUUGGACAAUGGGCGAGAGCCUGAUCCAGCCAUGCCGCGUGCAGGAAGACGGCCCUAUGGGUUGUAAACUGCUUUUAUAGAGGAAGAAACACUCCUACGUGUAGGAGCUUGACGGUACUCUACGAAUAAGGAUCGGCUAACUCCGUGCCAGCAGCCGCGGUAAUACGGAGGAUCCAAGCGUUAUCCGGAAUCAUUGGGUUUAAAGGGUCCGUAGGCGGGACAAUCAGUCAGCGGUGAAAGUCUGUGGCUCAACCAUAGAAUUGCCAUUGAUACUGUUGUUCUUGAAUACUUAUGAAGUGGUUGGAAUAUGUAGUGUAGCGGUGAAAUGCAUAGAUAUUACAUAGAACACCGAUUGCGAAGGCAGAUCACUAAUAAGUCAUUGACGCUGAUGGACGAAAGCGUAGGUAGCGAACAGGAUUAGAUACCCUGGUAGUCUACGCCGUAAACGAUGGUUACUAGCUGUUUGGUUGCAAGACUGAGUGGCUAAGCGAAAGUGAUAAGUAACCCACCUGGGGAGUACGUUCGCAAGAAUGAAACUCAAAGGAAUUGACGGGGGCCCGCACAAGCGGUGGAGCAUGUGGUUUAAUUCGAUGAUACGCGAGGAACCUUACCAGGGCUUAAAUGUAGAUUGACAGGGGUGGAAACACCUUUUCCUUCGGGCAAUUUACA